UCAAAAUAAAAUUCUGUCGAAAUAAUUGGACAGUACACAGUGACUGACUGUUGAUUUGUGGGUAUACCUUUUGUUCCUAUUUUUACAGGAAAAAUCUGUAAAGAUUAUGUAAAAUUACACAUUACUCUGUAAACAUACAGAAAAUGUCUUUUUAAAAGUGAAAAAUUGUUGUAAUACCAAAAUACAAGCAGUUAUCUGUAAAUAUAAUGGUAGAACUUUAAAAUACAGCAAAUAUCUGUAAAAUAACAGGUAUUAUAUUGUAUAAUGGAAAAACAGGAAAAUUCUGUAAAAUAAUACAGACCAUUAACUGUAAAAUUACAUUUAUUUUUAACAGUGUAGUUUUUGUAGAAAACCAUAGUAAUUGCAAAAUGAACUGGUUUACGACAGCAUUUUUAGUAGAACUAUUACAAAAUAACCCAUGGUUUUUCAAAAGUAUUAACUACAUAUUUUUGUAUAACAUAUUUUUAUUGAAUUUUAACAAAGUUUUUCAAAAAAAAAAAAAAAAAAACACAUCAUCCUUCCCCAUAACUUACCCCAGAUCGGUUAAAAAAAAUAAAUAAAAAUUAAUAAAAAAUAAAAAUAAAAAAAAAUCCGUCAGUAAUAAAAUUCUAUAACUUCACACAUCUAAAGCAUCUUCAAUAUCUCCAUUUUUAACAAAGUCUAAAAACACCUAUUAACUACAUAUUUAGUUAUUUCUUACUCUUAAAAAAAAUAGGGCUCAAUAAAAUAAUCAUAAUUAAUCUCAUGAUUUCUGAAAAUGAAACAAUCAAAUUUGGCAAAUGUGUUGUCAGUUAUUACAAAAAAUACACUCUUAAAAAAUGGUUAUUUGGCAGGGUGUAUGGUUCCAUGAAGAACCUUUAAUAUCCAAAAGAACCUAUCCAUUGCACAAAAGGUUCUUUAGACUAUAUAAUGGUUCUUCACAAUCAACAUUUUUGUAAAAAAUUUUUUUCUGGAAAGUGAGGUCAAGUGAGCUAAAUGUUCCUAGCUGCCUCGUCCAGAACUCAUUCCAGACUCAUUUUCUUUCAGUUGUGUUCAAUUAAAGCUCAAUAAAGUAUUAAUUUUUAGUUUUAAAUAGUGUUUAAUUAAAAAAACACUAUACUUUUUAUACCUUUUAUACUUUUUACUCCUAUUUUAAUGCUGUUUUGCAUGACUCAAAAAAUGUGUUAUGCUUAUUUAGCAAAAGCAAAGUUUAGUAUCAAAAUCAUGUUUUAAAAUGAAAUAAAAAGGCUGAGUGAUACAAAUCUUAAAAUAUAAUUUUUUUUUUUUUUUUUUUAAUCCCACUAUCAUACAUUUUGCACCAAUGUAUUGGUCAUAGAACUACAAAAUGAGUUUCAAAUUCGCGAUUUGAAGAAAGAUUUUAAGAGGUUAGUGAAUGCUGCAUGACUGUGACGUGUUUAAAUGGACGCUCGCGCUGAAUUCGCGCGCUCAUUCAAACGCUGCAGCGGAGGGAGUUGCCAUGGAAACGGUGCGCAACACUGUAACUGACAAACAGUAAAUCUCCGUCUCUCGCUGCUGUUUUCACUGCUUUCAGGUGAGUUUAGUCCCUAAAAUCACACAAAUAUCACAUACAACUGUUCCAGACACUUUCUUACAUGUAACUGACAUGUUUCUGUUGAAUAUUUACUUCACAGAAAUGUUUUACAGUCUUCGAAAAAGUCCGCUAGCAUCUGUUUUCAGACGAGGUAUGUUAGGCUGACUCUGAAGCUUGAGCUCUUAUUAUGAAAGUUUGGGCUUUUAAUCACAUCUUUAUGUGUAGAUGAGAGGUUUUGAUAGCUUUGUAAAGGGUUUGCUGUCAGUUUGUCAAUGGUUUAUUGGAUGUUGUCUAAGUUAUUUAACCUAAAAUAUGUGCUGUAUACUAUUAAUGGGUGACGUCACUUACAUGAAGCACGAAUUAACUGAAUCUAACAUUAGUUCAAAAGUGCUUUGAUCUUUCAUGGUAAACAAAUAUUGAUAAAUUAAAAUUGUUCUGUGGUUUCAGGAGUGAUAAUAUAAUCUUUCUACAAAGGAAGAGAAGCUCCAAGAUUUCAAAAUUUCUGAAGGGAGCUGCUGACAGAAAUGCAGAAAACAGGUGAGCACAGAAGAAAUAUGCAUUCAUAUGCAUUUUUUUUUCACAACAUAUUUUCUUAUAUCACCAUGCAUCUGUUAUAUUACAGUUCAUUAAAGGAAGGUUUUGACAGGUAGUGACACAAACCUAAAUACAAUUCAAACCUAAAUUCUUUUCUGCGUUUCACUUCUGCUCUAGCUUACUUCCUUUAAAUAAAGCUAAAUAUCGUUGGCUCUGUGAUAAAUUGCAUAUUAUGUUUCUAGAUUAUAUGCUGAUGGCCGUGCAGCAGAGGAGCGCAGAGUCUCCUGUCGGACAACAUCUCUAAGUCGCUAUGUACCAUGUUACUAGAUCCUAUGUACCCAGCCUCAACCAUUCAUCAGAAGGACUGUGAAAGCAGGAACUCUUUGAACCACCAGUGGCAGUUUACAUGGGAUGAAAAAGGGCAUAGUAGUGGAUGAUGAGGUCCUGAGACCAUAUGGGGUGAGGAUCAAGACAACUAAACCAAAGGUGGACUGUAACCUACUGGACUAUAUGAUAGACUUCAUACUGACCACUACUGCCAUGUAUGCAGCAUGAAAAGUUUUUGAAAAGAGGGGCAUUUCCUUCAAGUAAAAGUGUGGAGGAUUCAUCUGGCCUUCAUCGGCCCCCAUGAGGUGACUCGAUGUAGAAUAAAUCAGCUUGCUUUAGGCUUGAAAUGACUGAAAUCUUCUCAUGUGAGUUGAUAUCAUUUUAAACAUUCUUUAAAGUACUUCUAAUUUCUUGUGAAUGUAUUUUGUAGUACGUGUAAAACUUUUCCAAUGAAAUAAUCUUUUUUACCUUCAUUGAUAUUGUAAUCAAGGUUGUUAAUGCGACCUUGAUGCACCCGAUGGACUGCACACAUCUGCUUGUGUUGGGCUUGUGUUUACAGGUUGUAUAAAACUAGGCCUGGCUGCAACAACUAAUCGAUAAUUAAAAUAAUCAUCAACGAAUUUGAAUAGUGCAUCAAAACAAACAGACCGCUCAUAAUUCUGACUAAAAUACACAUUUUGCUCAAAUAUUUUUUUGUUAGAAAUUAAGUGUAGGUUUAAAACCCUACAUGUAACACAAGUAAUCAUAUUUAUGAGAGCAGUAACAGUAAAGGCACUAUUGUUGGAAUUGUCCAUUAAUAUAAUAUAAUAUAAUUGCUCUGUUCAGACGAAUGAUUGUGUUUGUUCUUCGUACCUCUUACAAGUUAACAUUGUGUUUUUUUGUUUAAAUUGUUUUAAAUUCUGUUUCAAAAUAACAAGCAAUCUGUUGUUUUUAGGUUUAGAAUGUAAUGUUUGUAUUUUAACACUUUAAUGCUUAUAAUGAACAGCAGAGCCUACAUAGAGACAUUCUUUGUAUUUGUUUUCAUAGGCAGGAUGUGAAAUGACAUUCUUUAAAAUAAUGGAUUAAAAUUAUUUUAAUUAAAAAAUUAUGUAUAUAUUUUAUUUAUUUAUUUAUUUGUCAUCCAAUUACUAGUAUUAAUAAAAAAAAAUCUACAAAUAAAUUGGUUAUCCAAAAAAAUUGUUAGUUGCAUGCAGCCCUACAAAAGAUAUUGUUAAAGAGGUUGGCGGUAUAAUGUUAUGUGUGAACACGAAGUCAUGUUUAUUUGUACAACAUGUAAUUAAUUUCUAUAGAGAUAAUGCAUUAUUACAGUGAAACAAUUUGCUAUUUUUAUUUUGUAAAUUAGCAGAAAACCAUCUCUACCACUGCAGUGCUUUAUCACUAUUUUUUAAAUAAAGUUAUAGUUCUUAAAACCAUGGUUCACACCAAAAAACCAUGGUUACUACAUUCAUGGUUUACUACACUUGUACUAUAGUAUUACUACAAUAUAACUGUAGUAAAACCAUGGUAUCAGAACCAUGGUUUUUUAAAACCAUGGUAUGCACCAAAAAACUACGGGUACUACAGUCAUGGUUAACUACAGUUUUACUAUAGUAAAACCAUGGUUAAUUUUCGUAAGGGUAUAUACACGUGGAGGUAAGUUACUUGUUACAGUGUUCUCACGUUUAGUUUUGUAAUUAAAAGGUAUUUAACUUUUUAAUUUUUGCGGUGUAUUUGUUACUGAGCGUGUCGUAAAGCAUCGGCAUAACGUUACUGAGGUGAUGUUAAGCAGCUGGAAGAACGUUAAAUCUGAGGUACAACCAACUAGAGCGAGCAAGCAAAAUAAGGGUUAUAAACACUUGGAAUAUGGAAUGAGUUGCAUGGGAUAGUUUUAUGUUUGUAAAAAGAUUGAAAUUUUUUACAAUUUAUUAAAUGGACAAGUGCACGUAUUUUUCUUUUCUUUUCUUUUUCUUUAUUUUUGAUCUUUAAUGUCUUCCUUUUGUGAUCCGAAAAAAAAAUAAUAAGGUAGCCUAAUCUGGCUUUAGAACAGCAGCAAGUUGACUAAUUACUGGUUGUGAAGGGAUAAAUUAACUAAAAACUAGAGCAAGCGAGCAAAAUAGGGGUUAAGCAUAAAAGGACACAUAGUUAUUGUAUGGGGGCCCCAUACCUGGAAUUUGCUUAGGGCCCCCAAAUCGCUAAGUCCGCCCCUGGGUACAACUGCCUUUAGAGCGCUUUAUGCCUUCAACAGGAGCUGGCAGAGUAAUUGUCAAGAAAAGAAGACACCAUUUACGACUUUUUUAAAAAAAUUUUAAAGAGAUUAAAAUAAGACUAGGUGAAGAUCUGACAUCGCAGAAUUCUUCAAGGAUAACACGCCUUUUCUGCCAAACGAGGUAGGUUUAGACUUUUUAUUGUCUUGUUUGUUAAACACACACACACACACGAGAAGUUAAUUCGGUAACGUUACUGGCACGCGCAGAGAACGCCGCUUUAUUAUUAUUUUUUUUAUUUCAGACAGCGAGUCAGUAGCGCACCGAGUUCUCUCUCGCACUUACACGGACAAAAGCACACAAAAUGAUGUAAAAAUUACUAUUUUUGGCGAGUGACAGUCUUGUGUCAGGUGUGAGUCAUGUUUUAAAGGGACAGCAGUUCAUGAGAUUCAUGGUGUUUCUUUUUUCUUUUCUAAUGACAGGUCUAAUUGCUGCUGCUGUACUGUACACCCCAAGCACCCCCUGCAUUCUUAUCAUGGGUUUGUAUUCUGUUUUAUUUAUUAACUGUUUUUAUUUUAUUUACCAUUAGGCCUGUUCAAUACUGACAAAAAAUUUGUCAUUGAGUCAUUUAUUCAGUUGACUUUUGUUUGUGUAGGAAAGAUUUAAUCAGUGUUUGGAGUGGUUUUCUGAAUUCACCAUGUGUUUUUUAUAAUUUCUUAUUUGUUACUGGUGAUUCCAGAUUGCUGUCAUUCAAGAAGUUAUCAUUUCCUCCCAUUGUGGCUGAGCUACACAUUCUCUGUUUUAUUUUAAACAUAAAACAUCCAGAGGAGAUGGCACCGAGGUUGGAAUCCAUACAAAUGUAAGGAAUUUGUGUAAUGAGACUGUGUAUAAAGCAUUUUAUUGUGUUGCUGUUUAGUUGAAAAUAAUAAUAAGGGUUAGUUCACCCAAAAAUGAAAAUUCUGUCAUUAAUCACUCACCCUUCGUGUCGUUCCAAACCCAUAAGACCUUCGUUCAUUUUUGCAACACAAAUUAAGAUAUUUUUUUUGAAAUCUGAGAGCUUUCUGAUCCUCCAUAGACAGCAAGAGUCCUUACUCAAUCAAGGCACAGAAACGUAGUAUAAGGACAUCGUUAAAAUGGUCCAUGCGAACCACAGUGGUUCAACUGUAACUUUUCAAAGCUAUGAGAAUACUUUUUGUGCACAAAGAAAACAAAAAUAACUUUAUUCAAUGAUUUCUUCUCUCCUGGGAGAGUCUGCUGCCAUUAACGAGAGUACCACAAUGCAUGCGUGUGCGUUCAUUUGCCAGUAAACAAAGUGCAGCGUCAGCACCACCGUGGGUCAGAGAGCUCUCGGGUUUCAUCAGAAAUAUCUUAAUUUGUGUUCUGAAGAUGAACGAAGGUCUUACGGGUUUGGAACGACAUGAGGGUGAAUAAUUAAUGAUAGAAUUAUCGUUUUUGGGUGAACUAUCUCUUUAAGUAUAUCAUAAAGAUCACAUGACAGAUGCAAUUGGAGACCACUGGAAAUGCAAGUUUAGCAUUUUAUAAACAAUGUUUGAACUGAAAAGUAUUUGGAAUAGCAGCUGAUAAUUCAAUCUCAACCUGUUCUGCAUGUUACUCUGUACUUCACUUUCAUUAAUUUAGUUUCUUGUCAUUUCCAGUCUUCCUGUGAAGAAAUCCUGAACGAGGGUCAAAGGUUGAGAUGAUGGGAACCUACGCUUCCAAGACUUUGAGAAUCCAUGUACAAUCUGACAGCUAUACCUUAUUGGACCUUGAAAUGGUAGUUGUAUAUGGUAGUUGUCAAUGGAGGGACAGAAAGCACAGAGAUUUAAUUAAAAAUACUCUUUGUUUGUGUUCCAAAGAUGAAUGAAAAUCUUAUGGAUUUGGAACGGUAUGAGGGUGAGUAACUGAUGACAUAAUUCACAUUUUUGGGUGAACUGUCCUUUUAAAUAAUAUUGUGUUCUUCUAUAGGUUAAAUGGUGUAAACACUGGAACAUUUCACUUGACUAUUGACUGUAAGUCUAUAGCAAUUGUUAUUAAUGAAAGCCCUGUCUUUGUAUUAAUUUUUUUCCCCCCAUGUAUUUGAAAAUAUUUUGAAUCUUGACUGUUUCACAAUGAAGUUUAUCUUUGUGACCACUAUUUGGUGCAACACCAAUAUUGUACAAGUCAAGUACCUGCUCAUAUUUUCUUUUUUCUGCAUGUUGCUGUUUAAAGCUAAAAAGUGUUCCACAAUACAAGCAUGUUCAGUGGUGCUUUACACAUUGUUAAAUUAAUUGAUGUAAUAUUUUUGUCUUCACCUGUUUAAGGCAAAUAAAAGCUACUGAACACACUUUUAAGAAUGUUUACAUGAGGUAAAAAUAAACCAUGUUUAAUUCGUAUAUAUUGUGCUGGAGUUAUUUGCUACUAAAGACAGGCCUAUGCUAUAAUUUUUUAGAAAUUUCUGCAUUAAGGAUUGUCAGUUUAUGGUACAGAAGAAAAUGUAAAUCUACAGAAUUUUCCGUUUUAAUGUUGAAGGAAAUGUCCGUAAAUUUAACAGAAAAUGUCCUGGUAAUUUUCUGCCAGUACAUUAUCGUUUUUUUUUUUUUACAGUGUGUAAUAUAUGCGGUAAUACCGCAUACCGCACUAUUGAGCCACUCAAAAUUACCGCAAGGGAAAUUCCUUAACCGCGACAGCCCUAAUUAAACCCCUCGAUUCAUGUGGAUUUAUUUUACAAUCUCUUUAUGAAUGUUUUGAAACAUCAGAGUUUUGGGGAAGUAAACUUUCAAUAGAGCAACAAAAAUCGCUCAGAUUAAAAAAAAAAAGAUCUUCAUUUGUGUUGUGAAAAUUAAUUUCUUAUCGGUUUGGAGUGACAUGUCGAAAGAAUUUUCAUUUUUGGGUGAAUUAAGCUUUUAACUGUUAACUGUCAGUUUUUGUGUUAAGUAAGAUUAGUUACAUAAGACCAGUUGUUGAGAUGGUAUGACCCUGUUGGUUUAUCAAAAUUUUAAUGUUGAUAUUCAACAUUUUACAAAAACCUGAAAAGUAUAAAAAAAAGUGUCAGAAAAUGAUAAAGUAUUAUAUUGAACCUGUACAACAUUUUAAUAAUGUAUGAUUUUUCAAAUUGCACACUUUCAUGUUUUGCAAGUUUGUAGAUUAAUAAACAGUGGAAUGUUCAUGCAGAAAACUGA